GGUGCGUAACGCGUAUGCAAUCUACCUUUUACAGAGGGAUAGCCCAGAGAAAUUUGGAUUAAUACCUCAUAGUAUAGUGAGUUGGCAUCAACACACUAUUAAAGUCACAACGGUAAAAGAUGAGCAUGCGUCCCAUUAGCUAGUUGGUAAGGUAACGGCUUACCAAGGCAACGAUGGGUAGGGGUCCUGAGAGGGAGAUCCCCCACACUGGUACUGAGACACGGACCAGACUCCUACGGGAGGCAGCAGUGAGGAAUAUUGGUCAAUGGGCGCAAGCCUGAACCAGCCAUGCCGCGUGCAGGAUGACGGUCCUAUGGAUUGUAAACUGCUUUUGCACAGGAAGAAACACUCGGUCGUGACCGAGCUUGACGGUACUGUGAGAAUAAGGAUCGGCUAACUCCGUGCCAGCAGCCGCGGUAAUACGGAGGAUCCAAGCGUUAUCCGGAAUCAUUGGGUUUAAAGGGUCCGUAGGCGGCCAGAUAAGUCAGUGGUGAAAGCCCAUCGCUCAACGAUGGAACGGCCAUUGAUACUGUUUGGCUUGAAUUAUUUGGAAGUAACUAGAAUAUGUAGUGUAGCGGUGAAAUGCUUAGAGAUUACAUGGAAUACCAAUUGCGAAGGCAGGUUACUACAAAUUGAUUGACGCUGAUGGACGAAAGCGUGGGUAGCGAACAGGAUUAGAUACCCUGGUAGUCCACGCCGUAAACGAUGGAUACUAGCUGUUGGGAGCAAUCUCAGUGGCUAAGCGAAAGUGAUAAGUAUCCCACCUGGGGGAGUACGUUCGCAAGAAUGAAACUCAAAGGAAUUGACGGGGGCCCGCACAAGCGGUGGAGCAUGUGGUUUAAUUCGAUGAUACGCGAGGAACCUUACCAAGGCUUAAAUGUAGAUUGACCGGUUUGGAAACAGACUUUUCGCAAGACAAUUUACAAGGUGCUGCAUGGUUGUCGUCAGCUCGUGCCGUGAGGUGUCAGGUUAAGUCCUAUAACGAGCGCAACCCCUGUUGUUAGUUGCCAGCGAGUCAUGUCGGGAACUCUAGCAAGACUGCCAGUGUAAACUGUGAGGAAGGUGGGGAUGACGUCAAAUCAUCACGGCCCUUACGCCUUGGGCUACACACGUGCUACAAUGGCCGGUACAGAGAGCAGCCACUACGCAAGUAGGAGCGAAUC
rnacentral:rRNA from 1 species